rnacentral:rRNA from 1 species
CCAAUAGCGUAUAUUAAAGUUGUUGCAGUUAAAAAGCUCGUAGUUGAAUUUCGGGAUUGACACAUCGGUCGUGCCCUAAGGGGUAUGAACUGGUGUAGUCAAUUUCUCACCUUCUGGAGAACCGCGAUGCCCUUAAUUGGGUGUCGCGGGGAACCAGGACCUUUACUUUGAAAAAAUUAGAGUGUUUAAAGCAGGCAUUUUGCUUGAAUACAUUAGCAUGGAAUAAUAAAAUAGGACGGCAUGAUUCUAUUUUGUUGGUUUCUAGGAUCACCGUAAUGAUUAAUAGGGAUAGUUGGGGGCAUUAGUAUUCAAUUGUCAGAGGUGAAAUUCUUGGAUUUAUUGAAGACUAACUACUGCGAAAGCAUUUGCCAAGGAUGUUUUCAUUAAUCAAGAACGAAAGUUAGGGGAUCGAAGACGAUCAGAUACCGUCGUAGUCUUAACCAUAAACUAUGCCGACUAGGAAUCAGACGAUGUUAAUUUUUUAAUGACUCGUUUGGCACCUUACG